UUAUUCAUCAUUUAUAAAUAUUUAUUAUAAUUUAUUUAUUCAUCAAAUCACAAGUAGAAAAAUAAACAUAGUGAUGUUAACUUCAAGAAUCAUCCAAGUGGCUCUACCUAGCGGUAGAGGAAGGUCCGCUCUCUAUUGGAAUCCAAUUUAGUACUAGAGGGAGGCUGCUCUGAAAAUCAAAAAUAAAGAAAAUUUAGCAACGCUGAGU
rnacentral:lncRNA from 1 species